rnacentral:snRNA from 1 species
GCGUGCUCGCUUCAGCACACAUGCACCAACGGUGCAACAAUAUAGAGGAAAUGAGCAUGGCCCCUGCACAAGGAUGACAUGACAGCUCAGGAAGCAUUCCACAUGCAA